GACGAACGCUGGCGGCGUGCUUAACACAUGCAAGUCGAACGGAAAGGCCCUGCUUUUGUGGGGUGCUCGAGUGGCGAACGGGUGAGUAACACGUGAGUAACCUGCCCUGGACUUUGGGAUAACUUCAGGCGACUGCGGCUACUACCGGCUAGGAGCUCCUGCUGCAGGGUGGGGGUUGGAACGUUUAGGCGGUGUGGGAUAGACUCGCGGCUUAUCAGCUUGUGGGGCGGGUAGUGGCUUACCCAGGCUUCGACAGGUAGCCGGCCUGAGAGGGUGACCAGCCACAUGGGGACUGAGGGACGCACCAGACGCCUACGGGAGGCAGCAGUGGGGAAUAUUGCACAAUGAUCGGAAGCGUGAUGCAGCAGUGCCGCGUGCGGGAUGACGGCCUUCGGGUGGUAAACCGCAUUCGCCUGUGACGAAGCGUGAUUGACGGUAACGGGUAAAGAAGCACCGGCUAACUACGUG
rnacentral:rRNA from 1 species